UUUGACGUUUUGACGUCAGACAGACUAACGGUACGGCAGAAAGUUUCAAAGACUACAUGUAUACGCUGCAGUGGCUAAACGUUUGAGCCUAGAGAAAUUGUCGUCUUUAGUGAAAGUAGCAGUUCCUCCUUAAGGUCAGAGAUUGCAGCAUCUGAGGGCCUCUUCAAAAGAAGACGUAGUUGAUGAAGGCGUUCUGGAGCAGGACCAGAAAGACCACGACCAAGCAGCCUUGAGAUCUUAGGCAGCGUCUCCCUCAGGUCCCUCUCUAUCUCCCUACACAUCCACCAACCACUGGAACACAUCUCCAAAGUUCUGCCGGGCCAGCUCAGCUUCCCCUCAGAAGAAGUGCCACCACCUGCCAGAUGAAGGAGCCUUUUGAGAGGCAGCUGGCAUCGUGAUUGGACUGUACUUUGGUCUGUUCCAAUCCAGCUUCAGCUCCAGAGACGGCAGGCAGGACGAGUCAACGGAGGCCUGGUGGAUGAAGGCAUGCAGCUGAGUACAUUCCAGAAAACAACAGAGGAGGAGUGCAGCGGCCCAGGACCAGAACAAACAGAGUAUGUCUCUUAGAAAACAUCAUAGUAUAGCCUUUGGUAUGAAAAAACACCAUCAUAUACAUCAUAUAUUGUACAAAUAACAAGUCAAAGGAAAGAGACAUACAUUGUAGAAUUGUAGUAAUUGUGGGCUGACUGAUUUACUGGUUAUCAGUAUUUUAUUUUUUACUGAUUUACGGUAAUAAAUACAUUUAAAAAUGGUGCUACUUUGGCUCUGAACCUUUAUCUACCUGUGGUCGCUCUGUCUUCUGGAGUGAUUUGAUUGGUUAUAGAUCACGAAUAAAACUCCUUUAACUUAACAUCUGUAAGCAAAACAAAAACGUAUCAACAAAGUUUUCUGUUAGAGUUUGUGUUCUUCUAAGUUUAACUCCAAGAUUUUAAAUACUUUCAUUUCACUGAAAUCUUCUAAGUUCCUGAGUAGUUCUCUUUUAGUUUGAACCUUUCCACAGUUCAAGGACUGAAAUUCUAAAAGUUCUUGAGUAGUUCUCUGUUAGUUUGAACCUUUAGACAGUCUGAGGGCUGAAGUUUGAAAAGUUUCUCUGUAGUUCUCUGUUAGUUUGAACUUUCUGGUUAACAGAAGCCUUAAAACUUGUGACCAUGAGUCUUGAUUUCACAUUUUGACCAUCCAUCUGAGUUCUUCUCAGACCUUCACCUGUGGGUUUUUUAGAAAUCCUCAACAAACUUUGAUUCUCUUCACUGAACAGUAAAGUUUGUGGAGAUCAGAAGGUAACAUUAGUUUGAUAAAUGCCUUCAACUACUAGUAGACUUUAUCUGGAAAGCAGUUUCCUGAAAUGAGUUCUUAGUAAAUCUGUCCACAAUCAGACCAAGAACAUAGAAAGAGGAAACGUUUGAAGAAACAACUUGAUGUUUUCAUUUCAGACUAGAAAACGCUUUCAGACCUUUAUCUGUUUUUGCUCUUUUUGAUGGUUUUAUUGUCUCUUCUGUUUAAUUUGAUCUUCUAAAGUCUAACUGGUGUCUCUUCAAAUGUUUCGUCUUUAGUUUGAUUCUUCUUAAAUGUUUAGUUUUGCUCUUUUUCUCACCUUUUAUUCUUUUCUAAUGUCUGAUUUGAUUUCAAAAUGUUUUGUCUUUUGAAUGUUUAAUUGUUGUUUUUUUUUUUUCAAAUGUUUUAUCGGUUUGUUUGAAAAAUUCCCUUUUCUUUCCCAAUGUUUAAUUUUUUGAUUAAAUCUUUAAAGUUUUCCUUGUUAAAUGUUUUACCACCUUUUAAUGUUUAAUUUUCUUUUUAAAUGCUUCAUUGUAUUUUCUGUUUAAUUCCUAUUUAAAAUUUUACUGUCUUUA